rnacentral:rRNA from 1 species
UACGGGGGGGUCAAGCGUUGUUCGGAAUUACUGGGCGUAAAGGGCUCGUAGGCGGCCAACUAAGUCAGACGUGAAAUCCCUCGGCUUAACCGGGGAACUGCAUCUGAUACUGGAUGGCUUGAGUUCGGGAGAGGGAUGCGGAAUUCCAGGUGUAGCGGUGAAAUGCGUAGAUAUCAGGAGGAACACCAAUAGCGAAGGCAGCUCGCUGGGACGUUACUGACACUGAGGCGCGAAAGCGUGGGGAGCGAACAGG